UAGAGAUUAGAAUACAAAACAGAAUGGACGCCCUCCAUUUCUGGAACAGACAUGGUGUUUCUAACGUGCUCUUGCUUUCAUAGUCAUCAUUUAUUUGUUCACAACAAUCCUUUUAGGUGCUGCCAGCUCCUCCUUGGUGUGAGGGCCAGAGUCCCUGCUGGUGACACAAUGGCAUUGCAGUGAGCCUACUGCCCACGGGGUCCUGGCGAGCCUCACAGUGAUGAGGACGCUGCAGACACCCGAGGCUCGUCCAUCAAGGGUUUCAAGGAAAUGAAAACAUUGACACCUAAGCACAAGAAAAUCUGCGUGGCAACUUUUAAUUAAAUAUGUUCUAUUUAAUAAUGGAGAGAUAUAAAGUUUAUGAGUAAAAUCAUUAAGGUUUUUUUUCUGAUGAUGAGAAGAAAGGAUAUGAGAAUUCAUUUUCUCCUUUAUUCAGGGAGAAAUAUCUAAGUGGGAAACUGCAUGUAGAAUUUUAAUUCCUAUGUGCUGAAAUACAUGGUAUUUUAAAGAACUUCUUUAACAAAAUGGUAUAUAGUAGGAUUUAUUUUAAUUUUUCAAUCUGCAAAAAAAAAAACCCAAAAAACAAAAAACCAAA